AACUAUAUAAUAUUAAAAUUCUGCAUGUGGCAUAAAACAUAUUUUAAUGGAGAAAUUAAAUUUUAUAUGAAGUUCCUAGAUGAUUUAAAGCUGUAAGAAGAAUAAUAAUGAAUCAUAAGAAAACUUGCUGCUACAGAUAUCAAAAAGGAAUGUUACCAUCCCUCAUGCUAAUCCUUUUCAUUUUAAAUAAACAGGAUCUAAAAAAAAUAAUUUUUUCCCCCUUCCUGAACUAAUAUAGGAACAUAUGGUCUAAUAAGUGUGAGUUCAUUUGGGGAGGGCAGGAUAGAAUGCUUGAAAUUAGGACUGACCCAAAAAAUGCCUUGGUCUCAGUAUUUGUGGAUUANNNNNNNNNN
rnacentral:lncRNA from 1 species